rnacentral:rRNA from 1 species
GACGAACGCUGGCGGCGUGCUUAACACAUGCAAGUCGAACGCUGAAGCCUAGCUUGCUGGGUGGAUGAGUGGCGAACGGGUGAGUAACACGUGAGUAACCUGCCCUCUUCUUUGGGAUAACGCCCGGAAACGGGUGCUAAUACUGGAUAUUCACUGAUCUUCGCAUGGGGGUUGGUGGAAAGGUUUUUUCUGGUGGGGGAUGGGCUCGCGGCCUAUCAGCUUGUUGGUGGGGUGAUGGCCUACCAAGGCUUUGACGGGUAGCCGGCCUGAGAGGGUGACCGGUCACAUUGGGACUGAGAUACGGCCCAGACUCCUACGGGAGGCAGCAGUGGGGAAUAUUGCACAAUGGGCGAAAGCCUGACGGAGCAACGCCGCGUGAGUGAUGACGGCCUUCGGGUUGUAAAACUCUGUGAUCCGGGACGAAAAGGCAGAGUGCGAAGAACAAACUGCAUUGACGGUACCGGAAAAGCAAGCCACGGCUAACUACGUGCCAGCAGCCGCGGUAAUACGUAGGUGGCAAGCGUUGUCCGGAGUUAUUGGGCGUAAAGCGCGCGCAGGCGGCUUCCCAAGUCCCUCUUAAAAGUGCGGGGCUUAACCCCGUGAUGGGAAGGAAACUGGGAAGCUGGAGUAUCGGAGAGGAAAGUGGAAUUCCUAGUGUAGCGGUGAAAUGCGUAGAGAUUAGGAAGAACACCGGUGGCGAAGGCGACUUUCUGGACGAAAACUGACGCUGAGGCGCGAAAGCGUGGGGAGCAAACAGG